rnacentral:rRNA from 1 species
GCUUACGGCCAUACCACCCUGAGCCACGCCCGACCUCAUCUGAUCUCGGAAGCUAAGCAGGGCUGGGCUUGGUUAGUACUUGGAUGGGAGACUUCCUUGAAUACCUGGUGCUGUAAGCC